rnacentral:lncRNA from 1 species
GGUAUGAGCCAAAUAAACACUUUUCUCUCUAAGUUGCUUUUGGUCUUUGUCUUAUCACAGCAAAAAGAAAAAAGAGAAGAAACACUCCCGUUCCCAGAAGAACUCUUCCAAAGGUCACUUUUCUAGGACCAUCUUGAAAAUUUUUGUCUUUAAACUAUCCUAAUGUGUAUCCCAGAACUGAAUGCAGGAAACCACAUCCAGGAGUGACAAAGAGCUUCCCACUUGUUUGAAAGUGAUCUUAUCCACCUGCAUUACCUCAUUUCCUGCUUCUUGUGCCUUCUUCCUUCUGCAACAUCAUUCCAAAUGGUAGAAGUACAAGCCAUUUUUUAAAAAACCUGGGCAGUAUUUCCCAUGAGCCCUCAAAUUCCCUUGAGACUCUAUCUCAGCAUCUUAGAUAGAUCUCACAGUCUCCUACAUGUCUAGUGACUAGACAAGAGAGAGUGGAAAGCCAUACUCCAGAGACCAGCAGACUCAGAUAUGGGUCAUAGGCCUGACUUACCUAGCUUCUCUAUCCCAAAUUUCAUGUGUACAAUAGAGAAUCACACAAGGAACUCUUGCUGCAAGGGCACAGCUCCUAAACAUAGCAAAAGCAAACAAAAACAAAAAUAAAAAAAAAACCAUCAUACACUCACUAAUAUUAUUGUCUGGUUGAUGUAAUCAUGAAAGAGUGGUCAGAGCAGUAAAGAAUGUAGAACUCUUCCCCAGGGACUAACACACAGGACCAUGCUGUUCUCCGUGUGCCUUGCUAAGACCAUUCAUUAAAGUAGAGAAACGAAUAAGAGAAUGUCCACUCUCAUCAGAGGCUGUGAAACUUUUGGGAAGGAAUCUGGCUCCUGGCAUCUCUGUGUAGGGCUGAAUUGGGUGUGUCAGCACACAGGUUCUGGGUGAGUGGGCAGACUGGGCUGUAGACACGGUGUGCCAAUGCAGGUCUUUCACAGAAGGACGGAGUACAAGUUUACUCUAAGCUCUCUGCCAAAGCUCUGCCCCAAAGGAGGUUUCUAUAUUGGGUGCAAGGUAAAGUUCCAGGUGUCAGCAAGAU